GCUUGGGUGGCUCAGUUGGUUAGAGCGCAGGUCUCAUAAUCCUGAGGUCAUGAGUUCGAUCCUCAUCCCGAGCA
rnacentral:tRNA from 1 species